UCCCGCUGCUCCUAUGAGGAUGUUCCUCCAC
rnacentral:piRNA from 1 species